rnacentral:rRNA from 1 species
CCUACGGGAGGCAGCAGUGAGGAAUAUUGGUCAAUGGACGAGAGUCUGAACCAGCCAAGUAGCGUGAAGGAUGACUGCCCUAUGGGUUGUAAACUUCUUUUAUAAAGGAAUAAAACGAGGCACGUGUGCCUUUUUGCAUGUACUUUAUGAAUAAGGAUCGGCUAACUCCGUGCCAGCAGCCGCGGUAAUACGGAGGAUCCGAGCGUUAUCCGGAUUUAUUGGGUUUAAAGGGAGCGUAGAUGGGUUGUUAAGUCAGUUGUGAAAGUUUGCGGCUCAACCGUAAAAUUGCAAUUGGUACUGGCAGUCUUGGGUACAGUUGAGGUAGGCGGGAUUCGUGGUGUAGCGGUGAAAUGCUUAGGUAUCACGGAGGACCCCGAUUGCGGAGGCAGCUUACUAAGCUGUGACUGGCAUUGAUGCUCGAAAGUGUGGGUAUCAAACAAGAUUCGCUGCCCCUGGUAGUC